CAGUAGACUAAGAAGGGGUACC
rnacentral:piRNA from 1 species